GGUGCUGUGUGUUAUGCCCAGUGCGUUAGUGAGCACAAGCCUGGUGCUUGAGAUGAGCUAGUGCAACUUCGAGAAGCAAAGGGAAAUGGCAGUGAAAUUACCUGAUGGUGAGUAAAUCAGACGUUCCCGACAGUUUGCUCAGGUCUGCCAUCACCUGCCAGCUGACUUAGCCUGCUUUGAGCACCCAUCUCCAGCCCUGCUCAUGUAGAAAAAGACGCGCCCCCCUUACCAUGCACUGUUGCAAAGUAGCCUUGUAGUGUGGCCAGAUGGCUGCCUGAACUUGACCUGAGCUGAUAGCCCCUAGGAAAUAGAAACGCGCCCCUCCCCCCGACUUUUUCAGGAAUUCUGAGGCCAGUUUCCCAUUCCUCCCUAAAUAGCUAGUCAGCUGGCCCCUCCAGGUGACAUCAUAACACAUCCUGGUUACAUCAGGCACAGACCUGGGGGCCUGGCUGGGACUUCUGUUUUGCCCAUAAAAGAAAAAAAAUUAACCCACGAAGGAAGAAUCUGCCCUAAACCUUCAAAGGCCCUAGAAAACCUAACUUACAGCUCUCCCUGGCCAA